rnacentral:rRNA from 1 species
GACAGAGGGGGCAAGCGUUGCUCGGAAUCACUGGGCGUAAAGGGCGCGUAGGCGGGAUGGCAAGUCAGUCGUGAAAUCUCUCGGCUCAACCGAGAAACGUCGGCUGAUACUGCCGUUGCUUGAGGGAUGCAGAGGAGAACUUCGGGAAUUCCCGGUGUAGCGGUAGAAAUGUGUAGAGAGUCGGAGGAACACCGGUGGCGAAGGCGGGUCUCUGGGCAUCUCCUGACGCUGAGGCGCGAAAGCGUGGGGAGCAAACAGG